GGACUUUCUCAUAUAAGUAAUGAGCUUAUCUGGUCAUCAGCUUGUUAAGGAAAUGCCUGCAGAACUGAAUACUAGGCACCUAGCAUUUCAGUUUUUUUGUUUCAUAAAGCACCAUGCUGCUCUCCGUGCUAUAAAACUGCUCUAACACUCGGAAAAGCAACUUGUUAUGGCAGCGCUAACCAGUACUCGUUACCAGCAAUGCCUGAGAACCUAAAUCAGAAAAUACGUCCGACUGCGAUCAAAGGCAACAUGUCUUAUUUAUUCAUUUUCAGCGAAAAGAGCAGCCAACCAGCCCAAGUAAGUACCUUUAUAAUUUUAUAAUUUUAUCUUGAAGCGGACACAUGCAGCCCGUGUUUUCUAGUGACGUGCUCACUGCGGUGCGGUUUGUAAUAACGCCAGACCCAGGCCCCUACUUUCCGACGAUGAUUUCGGGAGGCAGCUGGCGCCCGCUGGCCGCCGCGGCGAU
rnacentral:lncRNA from 1 species